rnacentral:lncRNA from 1 species
AGGGCCUCAAGGUUCAACAUAGAGUUACCAUCUGGCCCGGCAAUUUCACUCCUGAGUAUACGCCCGGAAGAACCGAAGACAGGCGUUCUCACAAAAAUCUGUAGAGGAGUGUUCACAGAAGCUCCAUUCACAGCAGACACAAGGUGGACACAGCCCAGUGCCCACGGAGAGAUGAGUGGACAGACAGAAUGCGGUCCAUCCAUCGAUGUCUGUAGGAUAUGUGCAACACGUCCACACCAUGGGCUAUGAUUCAGCCAGGGAAAGGAACGGAGCACUGACACCUGCCACGACGCGGAUGGACCUUGAAAACAUGAUGCUGAGUGAGAGACGCCAGACCCCAAAGGCCACGUACUGUGCGAUUCUUUAUAUGAAACGUCCAGAAUAGGCUAAAAACGGAAGGGUGGAAGACUAGAGCCACAUCCACUGAGCACGAACACGUUUCAGAAGGCCUUCGGAAGGGACAGCCCACUGCAGAGGGACAGGUGGCAGACGCCACUGACGGCGCCCACAUCCCCUCGGCCCCGGGCCCGGGUGCUAGGCACAGCUCCAGGCCAUCGCGCGGCCACCGCAGGCCCCCGCGACCCUUCCCCGAGGACUUGCUCUGCCCACAGGGGCCCCCUUCAACCUUGAGACCCAGGGUGGCCCUCGCUGAGCUGCCCCUGCAUGCGCCGCCAGCGCUGGGGGAGCGGCCUGCUGCCCACACACACCCGCUGCCAGCUCCCAUCGCCGUCCCUCUGCUCUCUCCCCGCGCUGGCCUUCCUGGACCUCCCCCACAGAAAGUGCACCCCGUCCUCUUGGGAUCUGCUCUCAAGGGAACCCGCGCUUAGACGACAUCACCCGUAGAAGGUCUGAAACCACGGAACACCGCGCGACCCGGGGAUCGAGGAGGGCCCGAGGCAGGAAGGCCACCGUCACAGCCGGAGGCAGACGGCGUCGGCGAGUGGAACCCAAAAGCAAAGGCGGGAGGAGGCUGAGACUGGAGCCUUCUGACCUCAGCCAGCUGGAUUUCCAGGUAACAACGGGCUCUGUGUCCUCAGAGUCCCACUCAAGGGGCCAGUGCCUGCCUGCAACAUGCGUGGGACCCCCGUCUCCGGGACCACAGAGGGUGCCUAGAGAAGACCCAGAGUUCAGCGAGUGAGCCCGUCAGCCGCUGGAGUAGGGAGCAGGCGAGCUGUGCGCAGAGAAGCACGACCAAGGCUCGGGCGCUCUCACCAUCGAGACACCACAACCAACACCCUCCUCGCCAUUGCCAUGGCAGUGGUGGCUCGUGGUUCAAGUGCCAAAGGUGGGGACAGGAAAAAGAUCAAGAGGUCAACAUAGAGGACGAUUGUCCUCGUCAACAUCUGUACUGAGAGUGCCCAUGGCGUUGCCGAGCACUCCUCCCGCGGCGGAGGCCCUGCAGACUGCAUCACCGCCUCCGAGUACUUCCCGCCAGAACCAGGGUGACGGGGUCUGGAAAACAACGGCAAGACCUGCCCCAGACGAGUCUCCAUCUCUGAAGUGGAAGCCCUUCGUUCAAGCCAACCGCGUGGGCAGAGCCUCAUCCGCGCGAAAGAUGCAAAGCAGAGAAAGAGAUGGUGAGAAAACCAGGUCUCAGCGCUCGCCGGGGAGCCGUCAGAGGCAGGAAGGCAGGAGCUGGAGCAGAAGAAAGAAGCCACACAGUGACCGGAGCUGCCAGCCAUUGUCCGACGUGGUAGCCUCGGGCCCCCCGUGGCUAGCGAGUCCUUACAAUGGGGCUAGUUCUAUUGCGGAAUCGAAC